UACAGAGGUCCCAAGCGUUGUUCGGAUUCACUGGGCGUAAAGGGUGCGUAGGCGGUCGGGUAAGUCUAACGUGAAAUCUUCAAGCUCAACUUGGAAACUGCGUCGGAUACUAUUCGGCUCGAGGAAUGGAGGGGAGACUGGAAUUCUCGGUGUAGCAGUGAAAUGCGUAGAUAUCGAGAGGAACACCAGUGGCGAAGGCGAGUCUCUGGACAUUUCCUGACGCUGAGGCACGAAAGCCAGGGGAGCAAACGGG
rnacentral:rRNA from 1 species